GAUGAACGCUGGCGGCGUGCCUAAUACAUGCAAGUCGAGCGAACGGACGAGAAGCUUGCUUCUCUGAUGUUAGCGGCGGACGGGUGAGUAACACGUGGAUAACCUACCUAUAAGACUGGGAUAACUUCGGGAAACCGGAGCUAAUACCGGAUAAUAUUUUGAACCGCAUGGUUCAAAAGUGAAAGACGGUCUUGCUGUCACUUAUAGAUGGAUCCGCGCUGCAUUAGCUAGUUGGUAAGGUAACGGCUUACCAAGGCAACGAUGCAUAGCCGACCUGAGAGGGUGAUCGCCCACACUGAACGUGAGACCGGGCCCAGCUCCCUAGGGGGGGCAGCGUUGGGAAUCUUUCGGAAAUGGGCGAAGCCCGAACGGAGCAACGCCGGGUGGGUAAUAAGGUUUUCCGGUCGUAAAACUCUGUUAUUAGGGAAGAACAUAUGUGUAAGUAACUGUGCACAUCUUGACGGUACCUAAUCAGAAAGCCACGGCUAACUACGUG
rnacentral:rRNA from 1 species